GAUAAUCCAUGCAAAUCAGGAGCAGUGGUUCUCAGUGCUUGGUUCACAGAGAGGACUCAGCUUGAGGAGGUCACUCGCUCCCAGCCGCUCCUCCCAUUAUAUUUUUCCCCUUAUUGCAGAACUGCUGUAUGUAUACAGUGACUGAAAGGACUCAAUUUACUGCAACUGCUGCCUGGCUUUACUCACAACUUUUUUUUAUAAAGGAACUUACCUCCAUCUGUCUUUUCAAGGGUAGAAAGAGUCCCUUUAACUCCUGAAGACAGUAAAUCACAGUUUGUGUGGUGGUUCUCAGAAGACACUUAAAGAACUGAAUUGGAUGCUCUCCAUAGCACCCUUGCCAAAAGAGUUCGGAAAUGACUUCCAGCUUCCCACAGUAAUAAAAUGGCACUGUUUGGCAUCUUUAAGGACUCAGACAACUCACCCUAAACCACACAACUCGUUCUGAAGACGAUGGAGCCCACAUAGAUUCAUAAGAGCCCAAUGUUUCCAAAGGACAUUAACUUUGAUUUCUCUGAUGAAGGCUUGUGGCUGUGCCCCUCAUGCUUUACGAAAUACUACCAAGUCAGAGCCGAAAAGAAAACCGUAAGUGAAUGUUAUUUCAAGAACAGUUCUUUUUCAUUAUUUAGGAAAAAUUUUCUCAUACUUCUCUGUAAUUCA